rnacentral:lncRNA from 1 species
ACGUUCCGAAAGUAAGUUUCGUCAUUUUUUUUCAAGGGAACAUGGUGCACCAGGUGACGCAAACAAUUACAAUAAGAAUCCACGCCCGUUGCUGGUUCAACGACGGAAGAAGCGUCAGCGGAGGAGGAAUGACGCAUGCGCAGAGCGCAGAAGAAGAGAGAGUAGCAGCAGAUCGGUGUGCCCGAGGUUAUUCGAGUACAAAUCACGAUGGCAGACAGAUGUGUGCUGACAACGUGGUUGCCAAUGGAAGUGCGUGCUGUUAUCUGGUAUGAAUGGGCACCUGUCCCCUGAAUUGAAUG